rnacentral:rRNA from 1 species
GAUGAACGCUAGCGGCAGGCUCAAUACAUGCAAGUCGUGGGGCAGCGCAGUGUAGCAAUACAUGGGCGGCGACCGGCAAACGGGUGCGGAACACGUACACAACCUUCCUUCAAAUGGGGAAUAGCCCAGGGAAACUUGGAUUAAUACCCCGUAACAUUAUGAGGUGGCAUCACUUAUAAUUAUAGCUCCGGCGUUGGAGGUGGGUGUGCGGCUGAUUAGGUAGUUGGCGGGGAACGGCCACCAAGCCUUCGAUCAGUAACUGGUGUGAGAGCACGACCAGUCACACGGGCGACUGAGACACGGGCCCGGACCUCCUACGGGAGGCAGCAGUAAGGAAUAUUGGGCAAUGGACGCAAGUCUGACCCAG